UAAGGAAUAUUGCUCAAUGGGAGAAAUCCUGAAGCAGCAACGCCGCGUGGAGGAUGAAGGGUCUAUGACUUGUAAACUCCUGUAAAGAAGGAAAAAAUUCCCAUUUGAUGGGAGAUGAUGGUACUUCUGGAGUAAGCACCGGCUAACUACGUGCCAGCAGCCGCGGUAAUACGUAGGGGGCAAGCGUUGUCCGGAUUUACUGGGUGUAAAGGGUGCUCAGGCGGAUUUGUAAGUCAGAGGUGAAAUCUUACAGCUUAACUGUGAAACUGCCUUUGAUACUGCAAGCCUAGAGUAUGGAAGAGAGUGAUGGAAUAUCUGGUGUAGCAGUGAAAUGCGUAGAUAUCAGAUAGAACACCAAUGGCGAAGGCAGUCACUUGGUCCAUUACUGACGCUAAAGCACGAAAGCGUGGGUAGCAAACA
rnacentral:rRNA from 1 species